rnacentral:rRNA from 1 species
GACGAACGCUGGCGGCGUGCUUAACACAUGCAAGUCGAACGAUGAAGCCGGAGCUUGCUCUGGUGAAUUAGUGGCGAACGGGUGAGUAACACGUGAGUAACCUGCCCUUGACUCUGGGAUAACUGCGGGAAACUGUAGCUAAUACCGGAUACGACCCUCGGUGGCAUCAGCAGGGGGUGGAAAGAAUUUCGGUCAAGGAUGGACUCGCGGCCUAUCAGCUAGUUGGUGAGGUAACGGCCCACCAAGGCGACGACGGGUAGCCGGCCUGAGAGGGUGACCGGCCACACUGGGACUGAGACACGGCCCAGACUCCUACGGGAGGCAGCAGUGGGGAAUAUAGCACAAUGGGCGCAAGCCUGAUGCAGCGACGCCGCGUGAGGGAUGACGGCCUUCGGGUUGUAAACCUCUUUCAGCACCGACGAAGCGCAAGUGACGGUAGGUGCAGAAGAAGGACCGGCCAACUACGUGCCAGCAGCCGCCGUAA